rnacentral:rRNA from 1 species
UACGUAGGGGGCAAGCGUUAUCCGGAAUCACUGGGCGUAAAGGGUGCGUAGGCGGUUCUUUAAGUCAGGGGUGAAAGGCUACGGCUCAACCGUAGUAAGCCUUUGAAACUGGAGAACUUGAGUGCAGGAGAGGAGAGUGGAAUUCCUAGUGUAGCGGUGAAAUGCGUAGAUAUUAGGAGGAACACCAGUGGCGAAGGCGACUCUCUGGACUGUAACUGACGCUGAGGCACGAAAGCGUGGGGAGCAAACAGG